AAUAUGGGACAAUGGGCGAAAGCCUGUUACAGCUAUGUCGCGCGUGUGAAGAAGGUCUUCGGAUUGUAAAUCACUGUAAGUUGGCAGGAAUGGCAGUAAGUUAAUACCUUGCUGUAUUCAGCGUACCGACAUAAUAAGCACCGACUACCUUCGUUCCCGCAUCCUCGGUAAUAUGAAGGGUGCAAGCGUUAAUCGGAAUUACUGGGCGUAAAGAGCGCGUAGGUGGUUCGUUAAGUUGGAUAUGAAAGCCCCGGGCUCAACCUGGGGACUGCAUCCAAAACUGGCGAGCUAGAGAACGGUAGAGGGUGGUGGAAUUUCCUGUGUAGCGGUGAAAUGCGUAGAUAUAGGAAGGAACACCAGUGGCGAAGGCGACCACCUGGACUGAUACUGACACUGAGGUGCGAAAGAGUGAGGAGCAAACAGG
rnacentral:rRNA from 1 species